rnacentral:rRNA from 1 species
GGACUACCGGGGUAUCUAAUCCUGUUUGCUCCCCACGCUUUCGUGCCUCAACGUCAGAAAUGGACCAAGAAGCUGCCUUCGCCAUCGGUGUUCCUCUCGAGAUCUACGCAUUUUACCGCUACUCCGAGAAUUCCACUUCUCUCUUCCAUCCUCAAGCAAUCCAGUUUCAAUCACAGAUUCCCAGUUAAGCCAGGAGAUUUAAUGAUUGACUUAUAUCGCCGUCUACGCACCCUUUACGCCCAAUGAUUCCGAAUAACGUUUGCACCCCUCGUAUUACCGCGGCUGCUGGCAC